rnacentral:rRNA from 1 species
UACGGAAGGCAGCAGUGGGGAAUAUUGCACAAUGGGCGCAAGCCUGAUGCAGCCAUGCCGCGUGUAUGAAGAAGGCCUUCGGGUUGUAAAGUACUUUCAGUCGUGAGGAAGGUGUUAAGGUUAAUAACCUUAGCAAUUGACGUUAGCGACAGAAGAAGCACCGGCUAACUCCGUGCCAGCAGCCGCGGUAAUACGGAGGGUGCGAGCGUUAAUCGGAAUUACUGGGCGUAAAGGGCACGCAGGCGGUUAAUUAAGUUGGAUGUGAAAUCCCCGGGCUUAACCUGGGAAUGGCAUUCAAGACUGGUUAGCUAGAGUCUUGUAGAGGGGGUAGAAUUCCGAUGUGUAGCGGUGAAAUGCGUAGAGAUGUGGAGGAAUACCGGUGGCGAAGGCGGCCCCUGGACAAAGACUGACGCUCAUGUGCGAAAGCGUGGGGAGCAAACAGGGAUUAGAUA